GAUUCUUUUUUGCCAUUCAGCUCUAUUGAAUGCCAAGUCCACAUCAACUUCCAAAACAAUAAUUAGUUUCUCAGUUGUUCCUAAAUUGUUUAGAAAUUCUUCUUAAAUCUCCGCAAGUUUUUAGAAAUAAUAUCUGAUUCCCAAUUCCAUUUGGACACCAUGGGUAGCUCAAUAAACUGGUCAAGACAUUAGUUGGAACACAAACUGAGUCUAAUGAUUGAUUCCAGAUUCUAUGUUGGAGAUGGAUGUGUAUUCGAUCCAUGCAAGCUUUAGUCACCCAUGCUGUUCAUGAUCUUCUCCAGAAGCUGAUGUAGGAUGACCUAUGGGGGAUGGCUUGGUCAAGGCUUUGUAGAGUAUACCUAAUUUGUUGUUUUUUGUUGUCUCUCCUCUGCUUACCAAAAUAAAAUGAAAUGAAAUAAAUAUAUUCUAGAGGCUUCACCUUUUUACCAUCUUUUUAUCAUGUAUUAUCUCUCAAUGUACUGUUCUCAAGACAGUGGAUGUGAAGUUUUUCCCAGAAAGUUAUGCUUGUUGGUAUAAUUUAUUCAUUAUAUAACCUGUUAUAAUUUGCCAAUUUUGAUAGUAGAAGUGGCUCCUCAGAAGCACCGCAAAGAUUCAGUCCCCGAGCACGCCAACUAAAAACAACUGGACUAGAGUCUGACUCUGCAUCAUCAUCAAAUCAAGUUAGAACACCAAAAGAUAGAAGCCCUAAAGUCAUUGACCACUGGUCACACAGAAGCCCAGUGUCUGAGAAGAAGCGUCCAAGCAGAAUAUCUGAAUUGGAAUCUCAGAUUUCUCAGCUUCAGGAAGAUCUGAAAAAGGCAAAGGAUCAGCUAAGUUUAUCAGAAUCAUGGAAGACAGAAGCCCUGCAAGAUGCUGAGGAGUCCAAGAAACAACUUUUGGCUAUAUCUUCAAAGCUCGAAGAGUCACAGAAGCAACUUCAAGAACUGUCUGCUACGGAGGGGGCUCGUGUUGUUGAGCUUCAGAAAAUCUCACAAGAACAGGAUAAAGCAUGGCAGGCAGAGCUUGAGGCUAUCCAGCAGCAGCACUCAGUUGACUUAUCUGCCUUGGGCUCUGCCUUGAGUGAAAUUCAACGGUUGAAGGUUCAGCUUGAGAUGGUAGCUGAAUCUGAAGCUGACCAAAGCAAGCAUGCAGAAUCAGCAGAUGUGGAGCUCCGGACGUUAAGAGCAAAUCUGAUGGAUACUCUUUCUCUUGUAGAGAACAUGAAAAACCAGCUAAGGGAUAGCAAAGACUCAGAGGCCCAUGCCCAAGCACUGGCUAGUGAAACUCUACUGCAACUGGAAACUGCAAAGAAAUCUGUGGAGGCACUAAGAUCAGAUGGCUCAAGAGCUAUUGAAGCCUAUAACUCCAUUGCCUCAGAAUUAGACCAGUCGAGGGCACGUGUUAAAUUAUUGGAAGGACUUGUUAGAAAACUUGAGACAGACCUACAUAAUGCUAGUGGCAACCUUUAUCGAGAUUCUGCAGAUGGUCAUGAUACUGAGGAGGCCAUUGUUGAAAAUCAAAGGUCACAGGAAGCACACCAGCUUGAAGCAGAGCUUUUUUCUUUGAAGUCUGAGGUGGGGCAUUUGAGAUCUGCUCUAGAAGCCGCUGAGAUUAAAUGCCAUGAAGAGCAAAUUCACAGCACAGUGCAGAUAAGAAGUGCUUAUGAACUGGUGGAGCAGAUAAAAUCUGGAUCUAUGCUCAGAGAGGCUGAACUAGAGGCGGAACUCAAGCAAGCAAAAACUGAUAUUGAAGAGUUGAAGGCAGACCUUAUGGAUAAGGAAACUGAAUUGCAAGGAAUUUCAGAGGAGAAUGAAGGUCUAAAUAUGAAGCUUAAGAACAGUUUAUCAACCCGAGGAGAAUCUGGACUAGAGAAUGAACUAAAAAAUUUGAGGGACACUGUUGCUGAAAUGAAGGCGAGAUUAACGGAUAAGGAGACAGAAUUGCAAAAUAUAUUGGAGGAAAAUGAGAUGUUGAAGGUGGAAAGCAGUAAAAGGGAAAUGGUUGGGAAUAAAGUGAAUAAUGAGGUGGUUGUAGAACUAGAAGCUGCAAGGGACGCAGAACGGGAAGCUCUCAUGAAGCUUGCCUUUGCGAUGGAGGAGGCAGAUAAGAGUAAUAAAAGGGUUGCGAGGGUGACUGAACAGCUUGAGGCAGCACAAGCAGCUAACUCUGAAAUGGAAGCAGAGUUGAGAAGACUAAAGGUGCAGUCUGACCAGUGGAGGAAGGCUACAGAGGCAGCUGUAGCUAUGCUUUCAGCAGGAAAUAAUGGGAAGUUCAUGGAGAGAACAGGAUCAUUGGAUAGCAACUACAAUCCUGUUACAGGAAAGAUUGGUUCACCCUACAAUGAAGAGAUGGAUGAUGAUCUUCUAAAGAAGAAAAAUGGAAAUAUGCUAAAGAAGAUUGGGGUCUUAUGGAAGAAGCCACAGAAAUAGAAUACCUGAGAUACCCCGGUCGAUUGCAAAAUCCAAAUCAUUUUAUUGAAGCAAAAAAUUAGCACUCUUGUGAAGUUCCCAUCUGCAAUAGCUUAGUAUACGCUGGUUGAUUUCCUGUACCCUUAAACAUCAAAUUGCGGCUGUGAUUCUCCUGCAAGUAUGUUUAAAUUGGCCUAAGUAGUUCACAUUGGAACCGAGUGAUAUCAAAAAGAAAUGGAAAAACUUACACAUGUAUCUAUCUGCAACUCUGCUUGCAAGUAACUUACUAUGGAGUCAUUUUGUUUAAGCUAGUCCUGUCCUUGUUGACUUGCCUGCAAAUUCAUAAAUGAAUAGAAUCAGCUACUUUCUGUUGCUUCCGAUAAAUCUGGUAAAGUUUUAUAGUUGCACUCAACUCAUUUUACUUGCUGUCUGGAUCCCAGUCCCACUGUAUGAAUAUUCAUAAUAUGGGUUGAUUUUGUGUAUCUUCU
rnacentral:misc_RNA from 1 species